CCUUUCUCUCUCUCCCUCCGCAUGUCCUUCCCCGACUCUUGGUCUUGCUCCAUCCCCGCUCAGGCGUUCACCCCAACAACUUGUCCCCUUACGCUGUGAAUCUGUGGCAACCCCCACUUCUCCAUAUGUUAGUUUUUGGUAAAUUGUUGAUCCGUUUAGAGCUUAAUUCCAAUGUGAAGGGUCGAACGGAGCCUGAUUCGCCAACCACCGUUGCUGCCAGUGAGUUCACCGUGGACAGUCGUCCGAUGAACUCUUCCGAUAAAAUCUUGUUCCAGAUCUUGGAGAGGAGCUCGAAUAGCUUCAAUGACGGUCCUAGGAUUAAGCAAAGGGGCAUGGAAACAUCUUAUUUUGUAAAUUUCAGAGUCACCCCAGUUCUUAACAUUCCCGUUCGUUCGCUUUAUGGAUUGUCGAAGUCUGUUUCUAUCUUUGGGAGACAACUUCCACAAAAUUCAUACCAACAGAAAUCGCCCCGACUGGAAUUGGUCUCGGAUUAUUCUUCAAGUAAUACUAUACUAUUUUUUUUUCUUUCUUAACUUAGUUUCCUCUGAUUCUCUCUGUUUGGUUGCAGUCUUUUCCGCGGAGAGGAAGGCGAAGGAGAGGAAAGAGGCAUCGAUGGAGCAUGCGGCUCCUCUGAAGGUUCAUGGAAAGGGGAAGAGAAGGUUGUGGUCACUGGUCACUGGUUGGGCCUCCUCGAUCGAUGCCACAAGGAGAGGUACCGAUAACAUCGUCAGGGUUGCAGCCACCGGUUCCAGCAACCGUUGAGGCGAUGCAGUCGCCCUGAGUCCCAUUUGAAUAGAAUCUCAGGAUCUGUCGAACCCAGAAACCGCCGUAACAAGAUGUGAAGAAGAGAGAGAAGGAAAGAAAAAUUAAAAGACUGUAGCCGGUAACAGGUUAAAUGUUUUUAAUAUUCAACGGUUGAGAUUUAAUAUUAGCAAAGCAACGGAUGAGAUUAAAAUGAAGCGUUUAAACCUUGAGAAAGCUUAAGCACUGCUAACUUUUGGCCAAAACAAAAACAAAAACAAAAACACAAAUUCCCAGAUCGACGGAAUCCUUCUUCGUUUCUUCAAGUUCGGUGGUUUUGGAUCCUGGCUACUGCCCUUUGCUCUUCUACGUCCCCGUUCACAGUAAAUUGCAACGACGGCCGGCGAGUCAUUGCCGUUCCUGAACUUACUAUUUUUAUGGACUAUUGUCAGAAAUUGAAGGAGGGAAAAAGGUCAUGAACGAGGGUUUUUGAAACUACCAUUCGAUAUCCUUCCAUGGCCUCAUCGUCUUCUUCUUCUAAGCUUGCAUGGCUUUGGUGCUUCGAAGCUCUCGCAGACUUUAAACCUGUGGACAGAACUCUUCUACGCGAUUUAACAAGUAUAGUUCCCAAAUUGUCCAACCAAUUGAGUGAAACUGCUCGGGAAAGAGUCGCUUUGAUAUGCUUGGAGCAGUGGCUUAGUGUGAAUAGUGCAUCAGAUGAAGGAGUGGCAUCUUUGACAUCGGGGUCUGGUUUAGAGGCCAUUGAUGGUGUGGCCGAGCGAAGAAGCUGUGUAGAGGUUCUCCAUUUUGUUCUGAACAAGGCAAAAAUGUCAGAAAUGUUGAAGGAGGAGGUUCACCAGUUUAUUCUCCAUAAAAGAGAGAGUUUGCCUGGAUGUGCUUUGAGACAGCUGAAAGAUGCAAUCCAAGAUGGAACUCAUCCAAUUUCAACAGCCAUGUGGAAAAGGAGUGGUUUGGCCAAAGGAAAUCAAAAUUGGAGUAUAAUUCAUGCCGGUAAGGGUGAUCCCACUGAACCUGCAAGGAUACACGACACUGCUGAUUAUGAAAUUCAGGCACCAACGGAAAAAUUAGUUCAUCCACUUUCCCAAAAGAAUGGGAAAGAGCUCUUGCAAGAGGGACAAGAGUGGAACAAGAGUGGGUUGGACCAAGAAAAUCAAAACAAGAGUAUCACUCCUACCGAUGGAAGUCCAUCUUUUCAACCUGUGAUGAUCCACAAUAAUACUGGUGAUAAUAGAAUCCAGGCACCACAAGAAAAAUUAGUUUAUAUUGUUUCUGGAGGAAAUGGGAAAGAGCUCUUGCAAGGACAGCCUCCGGGUGGCAAUACCGAAUCUGCUCAGUGGGGUAUGGAAAAUGAAAAGCCAGUAGAAAGGCAUCUUUGUUUAGAUGAUGAUCAUCAUGUCAAUGGGAGCCAUAUGAGUUGUCUGAAGGAUUGGGGAUACCUACGAUCAGAUCUUAAGUUGGAAACUGUGACCCAUGGAACUGGGAAUGAAAUCUUGAAAGGCAAUCCAUCUGAUAGUGGUAUGAAAUCUACUAAAAGGGAAAGGAGUGGCCUUGCUAAGGAAUCGCAGUUAAAUUGUUUGGGCAAAAGCAGAAUACUUGUGGAAAAUAUCGAUCACCUUGCAGAUGUCAAGAUAGCCAAUUAUGUUCAAACCCAGUCUAUUGUGCACAAACAUGAACAAGUGGAUCCUCCUGGAAGGAUUAUGUCAUUGCCUGAAAAUUUUAUCUUAACAAAUGAAACUCAAAUACAAGGCCUAGAGGGAGCUGAAAUUUGUGGGGAUGGUACUGAUUUUCUCCCCUUAAAGAAGUCUAAGAAUGGUAAUAGUGAUUGUGAAAUCCAGCAUUAUAUGUCAUGUAAUGAUAAAGUAUCACUAACUUCAAGUCCAGUUGUUUCCCAGCGAAACAAUUCUGAUAAUGCUGAAGACAAUAAGGAAAUAUCUGAAUCGCAACCAAAUGGAUCCAACAAAAAUGUUUCUGUUGAAACUGAAGACAGAGACAAGGGACGUGGCGAAAGACAGGCAUCAAGCAAGAAUGGUGGGCAUUCUAAUGUAACCCUAUCCUUGAAAUUGACUGAUACAGAGUUUAUUGCUGCUGAGAAGCAUAGAUUUUUGAAUUCCCGAAGCACAUAUGACUAUGAUUCUCAGGCAACAUCAUAUCAGAAAGCACAAAGGAUAUGUUGCAAGUGUGGAAGAGGUGGCCAAUUGUUAAUUUGCAGUGUAAAUUGCUGCCCGUUGGUGGUUCAUAAUAGUUGCUUGGGAUCACCAGGUGGUUUUGAUGAUAAAGGAAACUUCCAGUGUCCAUUUUGUUCUUAUGAACGUGCAAUCACUGCCUGUCUUGAUUUAAAGAAGAAGCUUGCCCUAGCAAGGAAAUGUUAUGCUACGUUCAUUUGUGCAAAAUCUUCGAGUACCAGUCAAGAACCCCAGUCCAGAAAAACUACUGAUGUUGGCCUGCCUGAUAAGAAUCAUGAUAAGAGGGAGCAUAAAGAAAUUAUUUCUAAUCAUUCAAUGCAGGUGAUGGAACAUCAGAAAGAUGCAGACGAUGUUGGUAGGCUUCCACAGGGGUUACUUUCUGGCACAGAACCAGAGACAUCUAUAGGUUCCGAGAGAAAUGAUAUUGUCCUAAUCGGAGAAAAUCCAAAACCAGUGGUUGUUCAUCAAAUUAAAGGUUCAAAGGAAGAUCAGCAGCCUAAAGGGCCUCCGAAUGUAUGCUGUAAUUAUGAUUUUCCCCUGAGAGAAGAAAGUACAUUUCCAAUCACUGAGACACCUUCAGCUUCACUUGCCAUGGAAAGAGGGAAGGAAAAUAUGCCUGAUCAGCCUCAUCCCAUCAGCGGGGAAGAAGAGGAAAAGAAACAGGAAUUUGCUUGUAAGGAAGAUAUCUCUGCUAAUUUACCUUGUACGAAAAGAACUAUCUCACUAAGUCACGAACCUGCUAGACAUGGAAACUUGAAUCCAGUAUUGCAACAACAGAUUGUCAAUCCAGUGUCGGAACCCUCAUCUCAGCCAAUUUUCACUGCAAAAGAAACUACUGAGAAUGAAAGUGACUAUGAUGAUAUUUCCUCUGAUAACUCUAGAAGAUCCCAAAGGCCAGCUAUUCGCCGGUCAUUUCCUGUAUUAUCUGGAAGGAGAAGGAAAGUUCCUUGGACAAAUGAAGAGGAGGAAAUUUUAGUGGAAGGAAUGCGGAGAUUUUCAAGUACUGAUUAUAAAAAUGUACCAUGGAAGAUGAUCCUGGAAUUUGGUUCCCAUGUAUUUCACAAAAAUCGCAACGCUGUUGACCUUAAGGAUAAAUGGAGGAACAUUUGCACCAAAGGAGAUCCAAGAGCUAGGUGAAAAUGAAGACCUGAUGUUGGAUACUUGAAAGUGGAGGGCUCUACAUGUUUCAGACAUCUCUAGAUUUUCUUGUAUAUCUUUUUAUUUUAUUUUAUUCUAUGAAUAAAGAUUAUAUUAGGGAGAAGAAGACAAGAAUAUACAAGCCCAAAGGCCAAAGAGGAAGGAGCAAACAAAGUAGCAAGCCUAGUUAGGGGGGCGGAUGCAGUAUGGAGAGGGGAAGGCCCCAAGACACAACAAUUAGCCCAUUCCUUGGGCAGUCGACAGACGAGUGGUGGAGCGUGGCUAGUUUGGAGCUAAUGUCAAGCCAACAUGUGGAUGAUGGAGACUGGAGAGUUACCUGCUUAUAAGACUGAGCAAAGCAUGUUAUGACAGCAAGGAACACCUGCAAAAUGGAGUCGUUGCGAUCGUGAUGCAUCCUAUAUGAUGGAGUUAGAAAAUGGUCACCUAUGUGGUAAGGUUUAUGAACCUUCCAAUUCACAAAAUGAUGAUGGUUGAUCGCAGUGAUUCAGUCUCUCAGUUUAUUGAGAAUCAAGGCAUAUAAGUUGUAAACAGGCAGCUUGUAGCUUCACACCCCUUGAACAAAAAUAAAAAAAAUAAAAAAAUAAAAUAAAAUAGAGCAAGCAUUCCUCUUGUCAAUCUCUUAUAAUUGAGUGAUUUGUGGACAUGGGUAUUCAAGUGGGUUCAAUGUACCUGGCACCAAAAUCAUGACCAUUGCAGUUGGGAAAAAAAUCUUUUAGUUUCCUUACCAUCCAAAGUCCAAGCACAAAAUGCCUUCAGAAUUUCUUAUCACUGUCAACCAAACACUAAGAAAAAUUUCUUUUCUAUGUCAACGAAACAUCUAGAAUUUUUGUCUAUUCUUUUCUAUUCUUUUUUCUUGGCAUCCAAACACAGCCUAAAUGGAGUUUGGGAAAUUAAAACCUAAAAUUGCUAGUUUUCUCAUUCUUUUAAUGUUGAUGGAAAUGGUUUGAACAUAUGUAACAAAAACCUAUAAAUGUACCUGCUAGGAAAGACAUGGUUCAAAUUGUACAAAAGAGAGGUCUACAGUGACUUUUCAUGAAAGUGGAAAGAAAAGGCAUUGAUGCUGAGCUCUAGUAUGUCUCUAAAUAGAAUGGAAUGGUGAACAUUAUCCUGCUAAGCAGCCAGUUCCGUCCUGCUAAGCAGUGGCAUGAAGCGCAAAGCAUUCCAAAGGCUGUUUGGAUGAAACCACCUAAGAUGAGUCAUCUUUUGUUUGAAGUGCUCUACUAAAUGUUAUGCAUGUCUUUGUAAGGGAUUUCUGAAACUUCUAUUUCUAUAUAUCUAUUUUUUCUUUUCUUAAAAGGAAAAAAUUACUGUAAGUUGCUUCAGGUGGAUUUUAGUUGAUGCUUGUAUCAGAAAUUGAGUAUGAGUAGAACACUUGGUAUACGUUUUCAAAGUUUAAUUAUCUGAUCUUUAGGUCUAA